UACGUAGGAGGCAAGCGUUGUCCGGAAUUACUGGGCGUAAAGCGCGUGUAGGUGGUGGGACAAGUCUGCUGUGAAAGCGCCUGGCUUAACCGGGCGAGGUCGGCGGAAACUGUCGCGCUCGAGGACGGUAGAGGGGGGUGGAAUUCCCGGUGUAGUGGUGAAAUGCGUAGAGAUCGGGAGGAACACCUGUGGCGAAGGCGGCACCCGGGGCCGGCACUGACACUGAGACGCGAAGGCGUGGGGAGCGAACGGG
rnacentral:rRNA from 1 species